rnacentral:lncRNA from 1 species
GGCCAGAACCUGUGAUGUCCUGAACAUGAAAGAGGAGGAUGUCCUCAAAUUUCUUGCAGCAGGAACUCACUUGGGUGGCACCAAGAUUGACUUCCAAGUGGAACAGUACAUCUGCAAAAGGAAAAGUGAUGGCAUCUGCAUCCUAAAUCUGAAGAGGACCUGGGAGAAGCUUCUGCUGGUGGCUCAUGCCAUCAUCACUGUUGAAAGCCCUGCUGAUUCAGUGUCAUAUUCUCCAGGAACACUGGCAAGUGGGCUUUGCUGAAGUUUGCUGCUACCACUUGAGUCACUCCUAUUGCUGGCCACUUUGCUCCUGGAACCUUCCCGCACCAGAUCCAGGCAGCCUUCCAGGAGCUGCGUCUGCUGGUGGUUACCGAUCCCAGCCUCUCACACAGGCAUCUUACACUAACCUGCCUACCAUUGCUCUGGGUCACACAGAUUCUCCUCUUUGCUGUGUGGACAUUGCCAUCCCAUGUAACAACAAGAGAGGCCCCUCAGUGGGCCUGACAUGGUGGAUGCCAGCCUGGGAAGUUCUGCAUAAGCAUGGCAUCAUCUCCCGUGAACGCCCAUGGGAGGUCAUGCCUGAUCACUACUUCUACAGGGAUCCUGAAGAGAUUGAAUAGGAAGAGCAGGCUGUGGCUGAAAUUCCCAGGAGGAAUUUCAGGGUAACUAGACUGCUGCAUAUCUUGAGUUCACUGCUACUCAGCCUGCAGAUACCUCUGGGCCCACUCAGCAGUUCCCUACUCAAGACUGGAGCUCUUGGCCUGCCACAGAAGCCUGGUCUGCAACUCGACUGCUCAGGCCACCAGAUGGGUAGGAACAACCACUGAGAGGU